CUACGAUUCUUCAAGGAUCAAAUCAAUAAAGCUGGCAUAAUGUCUUCUCAUACUGCAUUGCAACCAGAGAUUGACUUGGAGGAUUUAGAGAUACAACUUGCUGAGCAUGAACAUGAGCUAAUUGAAAUGAAUUCCAACAGUGACAAA